UAUUACCUGCCUGAGCCAGGCAACCAGGCAAAGAGACAACCCGUGACAUUUUGCGAGCUGAAAAUGGAAGUGGGACGAAAGAGCGAGGUAAGACACUUUAAUCUGUGCCCUUUCAUAGUAAGCCUGUUAACUAGAGAAAGUCUAAGAAAGGGAUCUAAUUUGUGAGGCUGCAGGGAGGGGAAAGAGGGGGCAGAGGAGGAGAGGAGGGCACAUCUUCCUCUGGUCUGGCCCUGCCCUGCCUCCUCCAGCCCAUCCUCCUCCAGGGCCCCAUCCAGGACUGGUCCCCACCCACUCCCAGCCUGCAGCCUGGGAAGCUCCAGCUCCAGCCUGGCCGGGCUGCUGCAGCCACUCCUGACCGCUCGCUGCUCUCCUGUAACUGGGACUCAAAGUCCACCUGCUGCGCUCCAGACCCUGGCGCCCAACUCUCCGUCAGACAGCUCAGCCAAACGGGAGGCAACCCCCUGCUGCCAGCCCCUCUCCUCCCAGACAGACUCCUCUAAAGUCCUCCCACAGCAGCUCAGGGCCCUCCCAGGACUAUCCAGGAAGCCAGAAUCCUGCAGGUGCACCUGGACUCCACCCCUUCAGCCUGCCCUGCACGCGGCUCAUGGGUCAGGCCUGGAGACACCACCCAGGACUCCGAGCUGAGGACACAGAGGGUGUCGCAGCUGAGGCCCAGGUCACACCGCACACCCAGAGGCAGAAGAAGGUGGGAGAGGCUGGUGCACAAGGCAUGUGGCUAAUGUGGGUUGUCUGCAGAGGCUUCUAACCCAUUGUCAGUUUCUCUCGGUUUCUAUGUGGAUGGUCAUGAGGAAUGAUGCUUCAGACCUCAGCCUGAAAGCGUCCUUGUCGGCCACUUCCCAGGGGAGUGAGCUGUGUGCCUCAGUCUCAUGAAUGAACCUCCAGGUUCCUCCAGGGCAAGGUCCAAGCACCAGCCCCUGGUCUGAGACGGGCUCGUUACGCUGAGCUAGAUGAUACAGUACCCUCCCUCCUUGAACAACUCAGAGGACCUAGCCCCAGAUCUAGGAGGGGCUUGCCAACUUCCCACAGCCGAGGGGCAGCAGAAUCGAAUCCACAAUGAGGCAUGAGAUCAUCUUGGAUUCACCCCCAGGUAGCCAGCCAGGGAAACAGAAAGUUCUAGAACUGGCAAAGAAAUUUCCCUCCUGCCACUGGAGGUUGCUGUGCACCGGCUGGUAGCCUGGCCUUGUCCCCUGGCCCAGGGGAGGGUGGGGUGGGCGCCCGAUUCCCAGGCCAGCCUGGACACUGAGCUCCUUCUGCUCGGGCCCCCUGCCCGGGGCCGGGCGCCCAGGGAUUUUCCUGCUUGCAAAAGGCCUCACGGGUGUUGUGGUUUUGGCAAUUACUGAAAAGAAAGCCUGGUUAUUAUUCUUGUCACGUGUUGAGAAAUCUCUAUAAAGUUUUACAGCCGCAAAUGUAAAAGGGGUUUUUAUUAGUUUAACAUUCUUCCCUAUACCCUUCCCCCUCCUCCCACCCAGAAUCUCACCCUCCAUCUCCCGCCUCCUCGGGGCCAUAGUCUCAAGACAGCUGCGGCCGGGAGCCUGGAAAUACCUGCAGAGAGCAGGAGGCCCCACCGCCUCCCAAGUCCUCCCAGUUCCACUGGAGCCUCCAAGCCUCAGGGUCUUGUCCUCCUUUCAGCUCCGAUGCCCAGUGACAGAGCUUCCCAGCUUCCUUCCCUUACUCCACAAAUGCAUUGGAAGGCCUGCCCUGGGCCAGACGCUGCUGCAGGUGCUGAGACACAGACGAGGGCAGCACAGACAUUGAUUUUCUGCAGGAAAAGAGAAAGAUAAACGAGAAAACAAGUAGCUAGAAGAGCCAGGAGAGUGGGGCCUCCAUGGCUGGGGAAGGGGCUUGGG
rnacentral:lncRNA from 10 species